AAAUUGAAGAGUUUGAUCAUGGCUCAGAUUGAACGCUGGCGGCAGGCCUAACACAUGCAAGUCGAACGGUAACACAGAGAGCUUGCUCUCGGGUGACGAGUGGCGGACGGGUGAGUAAUGUCUGGGAAACUGCCUGAUGGAGGGGGAUAACUACUGGAAACGGUGGCUAAUACCGCAUAACGUCGCAAGACCAAAGAGGGGGACCUUCGGGCCUCUUGCCAUCAGAUGUGCCCAGAUGGGAUUAGCU
rnacentral:rRNA from 1 species